rnacentral:rRNA from 1 species
CUGGUCUUGACAUCCAUGGAAUCCCGCAGAGAUGUGGGAGUGCCGUAAGGAACCAUGAGACAGGUGCUGCAUGGCUGUCGUCAGCUCGUGUCGUGAGGUGUUGGGUUAAGUCCCGCAACGAGCGCAACCCUUAUCGUUAGUUGCCAACAGGUAAUGCUGGGAACUCUAGCGAGACUGCCUGGGUUAACCAGGAGGAAGGUGAGGAUGACGUCAAGUCCGCAUGGCCCUUAUGUCUGGGGCUACACACGUGCUACAAUGGUCGGUACAGAAGGCAGCGAACCCGCAAGGCGAAGCAAAUCCCGAAAGCCGGCCCCAGUUCAGAUUGUAGUCUGCAACUCGACUACAUGAAGAUGGAAUUGCUAGUAAUGGCGAGUCAGCAACAUCGCCGUGAAUACGUUCCC